rnacentral:lncRNA from 1 species
GCCAGUUUGUCUCGUCUUCUCUACAUCUGCCACUCACACUGAAAAACUCUUUGGGAAAUAAACUAUCACCACAUCCUUCUCAGAGCAAUUCAUCAUCUUUAGGUUCUCUGUGUAAGGAGGAAGUCAUGAAGGAAAAAAGGAGCUAAAGGAAACCACUGUACUUUCUCCAGAAGGUGCCCUGAGCCUUUCACAACAAUCUCUUAC